GUGACCUCAAAUCAGGUAGGACUACCCGCUGAACUUAAGCAUAUCAAUAAGCGGAGGAAAAGAAACUAACAAGGAUUCCCCUAGUAACUGCGAGUGAAGCGGGAAAAGCUCAAAUUUAAAAUCUGUCAGUCUUUGGCUGUCCGAGUUGUAAUCUAGAGAAGCGUCGUCCGUGCUGGACCGUGUACAAGUCUCCUGGAAUGGAGCGUCAUAGAGGGUGAGAAUCCCGUCUUUGACACGGACUGCCAGGGCUUUGUGAUGCGCUCUCAAAGAGUCGAGUUGUUUGGGAAUGCAGCUCAAAAUGGGUGGUAAAUUCCAUCUAAAGCUAAAUAUUGGCGAGAGACCGAUAGCGAACAAGUACCGUGAGGGAAAGAUGAAAAGAACUUUGGAAAGAGAGUUAAACAGUACGUGAAAUUGCUGAAAGGGAAACGCUUGAAGUCAGUCAUGUUGUCCAGGGAUCAACCUUGCUUUUGCUUGGUGUACUUUCUGGUUGACGGGUCAGCAUCAAUUUUGACUAUUGGAAAAAGAUUGAGGGAAUGUGGCAUCUUUGGAUGUGUUAUAGCCCUUGGUUGCAUACAAUGGUUGAGAUUGAGGAACUCAGCAUGCCGCAAGGCCGGGUUUUUUAACCA
rnacentral:rRNA from 1 species